GAUGAACGCUGGCGGCGUGCCUAAUACAUGCAAGUCGAGCGAACAGACGAGGAGCUUGCUCCUCUGACGUUAGCGGCGGACGGGUGAGUAACACGUGGAUAACCUACCUAUAAGACUGGGAUAACUUCGGUAAACCGGAGCUAAUACCGGAUAAUAUAUUGAACCGCAUGGUUCAAUAGUGAAAGACGGUUUUGCUGUCACUUAUAGAUGGAUCCGCGCCGCAUUAGCUAGUUGGUAAGGUAACGGCUUACCACGGCAACGAUGCGUAGCCGACCUGAGAGGGUGAUAGGCCACACUGGAAAUGAGACACGGUCCAGACUCCUACGGGAGGCAGCAGUAGGGAAUCUUCAGCAAUGGGCGAAAGCCUGACGGAGCAACGCCGCGUGAGUGAUGAAGGUCUUCGGAUCGUAAAACUCUGUUAUUAGGGAAGAACAAAUGUGUAAGUAACUAUGCACGUCUUGACGGUAACUAAUCAGAAAGCCACGGCUAACUACGUG
rnacentral:rRNA from 1 species